UGUGGGAUUGGCAGAGUUUCACGACUUGAAGAUGAAAUGUUGGUGUAUGGAUUACAUCAUCUCCUCUGCCAACUGUCAUAAGCCAAUCAGAUUGAGGGAAACUCACAGCUGCCAAAAACACAGCUCACAGUUGUUGAAAAAUGCUUUCCUGACAAAACCAGUUUGUUUUCUCCAAAUGGAGGCCAACAAUAUCUCACUCAAAUAGGUGCCUCUGAAUUGAGUGUAUGUAUAUUUUGGCUUCAGAGCUCCAAUGGUUCAUUUAAACAUGAUCCAGAAGCACCCAUUGUUCUUUUAAAUGCAACAAUUAUCAGCUKAAUUAUAUUUGGAUAUUUGACCACAAAGUCAUAGAUUCUCCCCUCYUGUAUAUCGUCAUGCAAUUCUUCAUAGAAUACCAUCUUCCGAGAAAAMAGAUGUUUCUUGGAAUAUCAGGAUGAUUCAUGAAWCAUGGGUUUAUAUAAACAUUUGGUUUUUGGGGAGGUAGAAUCGUGGUUCUUAGUGUUGGACCUUCCCAAUUAUAAAAGUCAUGUUUCCAAUAACAGUCUUUAAGUGUUUGUCCAUACAGUGAACUAAAACCCUCGUUAAUCAUUAGUCCAAACUAAACGGAGUAACGCUUCCAAAAUGGAUCUUCCAGACUUCCAUAAUUCUCACAACCACGCUAACAGCAGACAAACUCACUGUUAACCUCCAUUAUUUUUAUCACUAUAUAACCCGAUUUAAAUCAGACAUUUGGAUACAUGUAACUGUCAUUAUGACAUCAUUACAACCAGAAACAGCCCAGUUCUGUCCACUGAGUUAGAACUYGUAUUGUCCUGGGGUCUAACAUUYGUCUGGGUUUGGCCUGGUCCAUCUUUGCGUGUCCUCUCACCUUGUUGUGWUCUCCUCCUUCCCUGUCUCUCCCGGCUCAGGUGUGGUCAGGAAGAGUCUACGAACACCGCUGUCGGACCUGCAGGGCAGCAACACGCUCAACGAGAAAUCUCCACGGGAUGGUGUGGGCUGGAAUGGGCGUGGUGGGCGGCAGGGCCGCCUGUCAUCCAGCGGGUCCAACAUGGAAGAGGACGGAGGAAUUUUUGUCAACUCCACCAGCAGCAAGCUCCUGGAGAGAGCCCACGGCAUCCUCAUGUGA